GACAGAGGAUGCAAGCGUUAUCCGGAAUGAUUGGGCGUAAAGCGUCUGUAGGUGGCUUUUUAAGUCCGCCGUCAAAUCCCAGGGCUCAACCCUGGACAGGCGGUGGAAACUACCAAGCUGGAGUACGGUAGGGGCAGAGGGAAUUUCCGGUGGAGCGGUGAAAUGCGUAGAGAUUGGAAAGAACACCGAUGGCGAAGGCACUUUACUGGGCUAUUACUAACACUGAGAGACGAAAGCUAGGGU
rnacentral:rRNA from 1 species